UACGUAGGGCGCAAGCGUUGUCCGGAAUUACUGGGCGUAAAGCGUGCGUAGACGGUUAUCUAAGUCGGAUGUGAAAGCCCCGGGCUCAACCUGGGAAUUGCAUUCGAGACUGCGUAGCUAGGGUGCGGAAGAGGGAAGCGGAAUUUCCGGUGUAGCGGUGAAAUGCGUAGAUAUCGGAAGGAACACCAGUGGCGAAAGCGGCUUCCUGGUCCAGCACCGACGUUCAGGCACGAAAGCGUGGGGAGCAAACAGG
rnacentral:rRNA from 1 species